AACCUGCCCAAGAGAUCGGGAUAACACCUGGAAACAGAUGCUAAUACCGGAUAACAACAGAUGAUGCCUAUCAACUGUUUAAAAGAUGGUUCUGCCAUCACUCUUGGAUGGACCCGCGGUGCAUUAGCUAGUUGGUAGGGUAACGGCCUACCAAGGCGAUGAUGCAUAGCCGAGUUGAGAGACUGAUCGGCCACAUUGGGACUGAGACACGGCCCAAACUCCUACGGGAGGCAGCAGCG
rnacentral:rRNA from 1 species